UUCUCAAAGUUUUAAUUGUUGUAAAGACCAGGUUUUUGUUAUAGCUAGCCAAUUUAAUGAUUAGUUACAAUUUAUCACUAACAAAAUGUCUAAGUUGCUGAAAAUCGCGUAAAAAUAAGUUUAGUGUGAUUAUGACUCACGAGUCACACACAAUUUGGAUUUAGUGUCAUGCAUGGCAUGGCGUCGACGAAAUGCCAAUUUCAUUGAUUGAUGAAAGGUUGUAAAUUAAUAAUCCACCAGUGCCGGUAUGUGAAAAAUGUGUCUAGACAAGAUGAAAAAUUCCAAUUUUAAAGUAAAGAAUUCAAAGACGUGUAUGACACUCAUUACCUUAUGCAUGUGUAGAUGGCGAGCUUGUGACCCGGAUGGAUGAAUGAUGGAAAGACAAAUAAUAGGUGCUGUUGUAUACAGUAUUUGGUAUAAAUCAGUCAUUGAAAAUCAUUACAGCUGAAGAUUUUAAUGCCGCCCUGUACCAGCACUAACAAUGUUGAUUACAGUCAAUGGAAGGUUAAUUAAACCAGAAUAACAGCACCUAUGAAUGUGGUCGAAUAAGUUGUGGAGGUGAUUAAUAGCAACAUUGAAUGUGGGUUGAAUAUGGUGUGUUAAAGAUGCAAGAAAACA